UUUUAUGGAAUUUUAAAAG
rnacentral:snRNA from 1 species